rnacentral:rRNA from 1 species
CCUACGGGAGGCAGCAGUGAGGAAUAUUGGUCAAUGGACGAGAGUCUGAACCAGCCAAGUAGCGUGAAGGAUGACUGCCCUAGGGGUUGUAAACUUCUUUUAUAUGGGAAUAAAACGUUCCACGUGUGGGAUUUUGUAUGUACCAUAUGAAUAAGGAUCGGCUAACUCCGUGCCAGCAGCCGCGGUAAUACGGAGGUGCCGAGCGUUAUCCGGAUUUAUUGGGUUUAAAGGGAGCGUAGGUGGAUUGUUAAGUCAGUUGUGAAAGUUUGCGGCUCAAGCGUAAAAUUGCAGUUGAAACUGGCAGUCUUGAGUACAGUAGAGGUGGGCGGAAUUCGUGGUGUAGCGGUGAAAUGCUUAGAUAUCACGAAGAACUCCGAUUGCGAAGGCAGUUCACUGGACUGCAACUGACACUGAGGCUCGAAAGUGUGGGUAUCAAACAGGAUUAGAUACCCUUGUAGUC